CCUACGGGAGGCAGCAGUGGGGAAUAUUGGGCAAUGGGGGAAACCCUGACCCAGCGACGCCGCGUGAAUGAAGAAGUAUUUCGGUUUGUAAAGCUCUGUCGGCAGGGAAGAAAGAGAUGACGGUACCUGACGAAGAAGCGCCGGCUAACUACGUGCCAGCAGCCGCGGUAAUACGUAGGGGGCAAGCGUUAUCCGGAUUUACUGGGUGUAAAGGGGGCGUAGACGGCGAUGUAAGUCUGAAGUGAAAGGCGGGGGCCCAACCCCGGGACUGCUUUGGAAACUGUAUGGCUGGAGUGCAGGAGAGGUAAGUGGAAUUCCGAGUGUAGCGGUGAAAUGCGUAGAUAUUAGGAGGAACACCAGUGGCGAAGGCGGCUUACUGGACUGUAACUGACGUUGAGGCGCGAAAGCGUGGGGAGCAAACAGGAUUAGAUACCCGAGUAGUC
rnacentral:rRNA from 1 species